rnacentral:rRNA from 1 species
AGGACGAACGCUGGCGGCGUGCUUAACACAUGCAAGUCGAGCGGAAAGGCCCUUCGGGGUACUCGAGCGGCGAACGGGUGAGUAACACGUGAGUAAUCUGCCCCUAGCUCUGGGAUAGCUCCGGGAAACCGGGAUUAAUACCGGAUACGACCACUUUAGACAUCUGUUGUGGUGGAAAGAAUUUUGGCUAGGGAUGAGCUCGCGGCCUAUCAGCUUGUUGGUGGGGUAACGGCCUACCAAGGCGACGACGGGUAGCCGGCCUGAGAGGGCGACCGGCCACACUGGGACUGAGACACGGCCCAGACUCCUACGGGAGGCAGCAGUGGGAAUAUUGCGGCAAUGGGCGAAAGCCUGACGCAGCGACGCCGCGUGGGGGAUGAAGGCCUUCGGGUUGUAAACCCCUUUCAGCAGGGACGAAGCGAAAGUGACGGUACCUGCAGAAGAAGCGCCGGCUAACUACGUGCCAGCAGCCGC